GAGAGCCCCAGUCUGUCUGCCGUUCACACCAGCUACAGGUCCACCUGGCACUGCGCUUCUGGAGACAAAGCAGGUGGGCAUCAUAGAUGGCCAUUCUGGGCUAUGGGUCAGUAAGGUUUGCAGAAAGCACGCUCAAAGGGAGUUUGGAUACAUCUGAAAAUCAUCAGACACAUAUAGAUACAUCUGAAAAGCCCAUUGCUUUUCAAGGUUUAUUUCUCUCUUAGAGAAAAGGAAAGUGAUUUGGAGGGACCAUGAGGCUCCAGGAGCUGCCCCCCGUCCUCCCUGCCUCCUACCACGCCUGGGUUUUAGAAGUUGGAAACCGCAAGUUUUCGAACUGCUUUUUAUGUCUGUAGAAACUUCGACCUUUUACAAAAAGGAAAUAUAAGAACCUGAGCUUAUAAAAUGGAUGCAAAUGCUACUGAAGGUAGGAGCCUCUCCCCAUCCUCCCCGAAUGACCACCCCAGCCAACUCCAUGUCGUGGCUCUCUGGGGGGAAAAGAAGCUGAAAACCACAUGGGAAUACAAAAAGCAAGUAAGGAAGCGACACCCACGUAUUCACCUAUUAUGAGGUUAAAUGUUCCUUAGAAAUGACCUGGAGAUUUGACAUUAAGGAACAACUAUUUAAAUGUUUGUAGUAUGCUGAUGAUAUUGUCGUUUUGUUUUUAAAAGAUGUCUUAUUGCCAUUGGGUUGGGGUCUCCACGGCCGAACUGGUCUCAACAGUUAUCUUUUGGUACAUUCUGAAAUACCUCAGUGGAGGUGCUAUGCUGUCUGACAUUUGUUUCAAAAUAACCAGUGGUGGAGAUUGGGGUGGUGACUCUCCAAGCUGGUGACCUUGGGGUGGUGACUGUCCAAGCUGAGCGUGCUUAUGUGGGGCUUCAUUAUAUGAAAACCCACAGGUGAGCGUGCUUAUGUGGGGCUUCAUUCCAUGAAAACCCACAGGUGAGCGUGCUUAUGUGGGGCUUCAUUCCAUGAAAACCCACAGGUGAGCGUGCUUAUGUGGGGCUUCAUUAUAUGAAAACCCACAGGUGCACAAGGCUCAACCUAAUUCUGUUCCUUCUACUUUAGGAUAUGUUUGGAAUUUUCCAAAUAAAAAAUUGUUUAGGCUAAAAAGUCUGAAUUGUGUACAAUGAACAGUGUGACUUAUGUAAUUCUUUUAAAAUCAAUGAAAAGUUGCAAAGAAAAAGACACACAGAGAGAGGGCUGGCUCCAGCAGGUGACAGGAGCUGCGCGGGGAGGGGAGCACAGCCGCUGACCGCGUCCUCCCAUCCAGGCGACCCCCAUCUGCCAUCCUCUGAGGACCAGCAACUCUUCCUUCAAACUCCCUGGGCCGAAGGCUGCGCGCGCUCCCCGGCCACAGGCACCCAGUCCGCUCACCCGGCCACCCGUCGGCCACCCACCCGGCCACCGGCACUUCCCGCUCCAGGCCCUCUGGCAACCCCUCCACCCCUCUCGGUGCAGAAUUCGAAACCCGAACCACCCGCUUCCGCAGUCCCGCAGUGCGCGGGGCACUCACCCUCAGCGCUCCCGGCUCCUUCGCGAUCUGUGCGAAACUGAAAGUAGAAGCCGCCUAGAGCUGCCCGGCCUGUGCUUGGAACCAGCGGCAGUGCUGAGAAAUCACGUGGAUUCGAAGUGCCAGCCCGAACCAGAUGGGCCUGUGGGCGCGGGAGGGCGGGGACCUAACACACACGCUCCCCGCUGCGACCACACCCUGGGACCUCCCCGAAGUCCCGCAUCGGACCCAAGGACAGUCCCAGGAGACUUGGGGGCGCUCGCCCCUUUUGUGGACAGGAAAUUGAGGCAGGGGAGUGAAGGCCCCACGUCCUCAUGAGACUUAAACUGCCUUCCUCCUAGGACCAACUCAGAUAUCUACAAAUUGCAUGACAGCGGAGUGAGAAGGGCACAGACUUUGCAGUGACCGCUUCUGUGUGACUUCCAGCUUCACCACUCCUGGCUGUGUAACCUCAGACAAAUGCCUUGACCUCCCCUGGCCUCAGCUUCCUCAUCUGUCAAUCGGGGUGUUCCCAGCCUCCUCAGGCAACUGGUGAGAAAAGGGUGGCACAGAGGAUAACACGCCUGAGCUCACACAGAGGCAGAGGAGCUGAGCUGUGGACCCAGGAAGGCCAUCUCUGCAGCCUCUGCUCUUGACCACCAUGGGCUCCUCCUCUGGGCUAACCCAGCCCUUGCCAGGAUCCUACAUGGAAGGUAUUAUCAUACCAUUGAACAAAAGAGGACAUGGAGGCACGGAGGGCAGAGGGGCUCCAAGAUGGCAGAAUUAGUAACUGGGGUGAGAGGGGGCUGGGAUUAGCCUUCCCUUUACCCUUCCUGUUUGCCAAACACCUGGGCCCCAUCCUGCCCAAGGUCAGCAGCCCGGGCGGCAGGAUGUGCUUCUGCCUGGCGCUGGCCUUGGGGAGCACUUGUUUUUCCCUAAAGGAAGCAGCAGGUGUGGCCUUCUUUUUGGAACUGGCCCUGACUGGGUUGGAGCCAGGCCCAGCGCCACCCCCCCCCCGCCCCCGUCAAUCCUGCAUCAAGGCUAGGUCAGAUCUAGGCUUGCAUGGAGGGGCUGGAAUUUGGGAGAAGGGCUUGGAGGUCAGUCCCACUUUUGUAAGCCUCUCGCCCUCUGGACUCCAUAACUCCUGCUAAUUGCACUCCUUGGAUGGGACAGUGACAUGGAAGUACCUCCCAGCUUAGUCUUGGGGAGACCUCUCCAAGGACAGUGAGGGAAGCUUGGGGGAUGCCCCUACCCUCCUUUCUGGAGCACAGCCCUGGGGUCUCUGGAGUUUACAAGGGGUAAGACUCAAAGUGACUUCUCUGUCUGUCCCU